rnacentral:lncRNA from 1 species
UUUUGCUUUUCAUCACCUGCAAGAUGUACAUAAAAAUCACAUAAGCUGGAAUUCAACAAAAGACCUCUGACUAUGUGAAGAUACGGUGGGAAGAUGACUGACCGCAAGACAGGAAGAGAGCCCUCACCGAGGAACCAAAUUGGCCAGUAUCUUGAUUUUGGAUUUCUCAACCUCAAGAACCAUGAGAAAUGAAUGUCUGCUGUUCAAGCCACCCAGUCAAUGAAAAAGUUUGGAAACCUUCAUCUAGAAAGUGGUCUAGCAAAGUGUGGUCCAUGGAUGAGUUUGAUCUGCAAACUGCUUGUUAUUGGUUCAUGACAAGGUCUACCAAUUGCAUUUUGAGAGCUCAGAUAAGCAGAGAGCAAUGCAAUUUGUCACAGAAGGAUGAUUAUGUAUAUGCACUGUCAUGUCUAUUUCCAUGCCUAACUCAAAGGAGACACAAGGAGAAAGUGAGCUCAGCCUGGAUAAAUUGGAGAUUGUGAUGACUUCUAGGAAGCCUCAGGAAAGAGAAACAAAGACAACACUGGCCUGCUGCUCUCUGCAAUGGUGGGACCCUUGUGGGAUAACUGUUUUAGGAAUGAAGGUGUCUACCCUCUCUAGAAAUGAAAAUGCAAGUUUGGCUGUGGUUAAGUAUUGGAUGGAGGCAAAAAGAAACUGACAUAUUUUCUUCUUUUCAAUUGUUUGAUUCACCCUGAAGGGCAUGGCUGCUUAAUUUUUUUCUCCAGAGAUAGGUGGACAGAUAAAGACAGGAAAGUAACAUCCACAGACUGCCCUCUGUGAAGGUGACAGUGAUGAAAGGAAUGCUUGAUCUGAACACUGGUAAAUAAAGUGACCGCAUAUUUCCCUAGCCAGGAGAGCAAUCUGGCUCAAAAGAAACGAGAACAAUGACAUUACUGCCAGGCUGCUCCUAAGCCUUUGGCUAUUCUGUUCAGUGCACAAAAAAAAGCAGUGAACAUAGCUGUGACCUGCCUUGUUGGUAGUAUCACAAUUCUUUGGGGCUCCACUUUAAGAAAUUGAGACCUACCUACCUUAAUCCUUGGGGGGUUAAGCUUUCAGACUGGAAUGAUAACUGAACUAUUCAUUUGCAGUAAUUCUGGGUUUUGUGCAUAUUUUAAAAAGGAAUACCGGGCUUGCCUAUAUUCAUUACAACGUCCUCCCAGCUUUCAAAUCUUCCAAUACAAUGCCUCUUCUCUAGUCUUUUAAGCACAUCCUGUGACUGGAUAUGAUUAUGGGAGAUUUACAUGCAUCCUUGUCUAUUGUAUCAAAAGAUCAGGGAAUAAAAUGCCCAUCAUUAAAACCCCAAAGUGAUUGGAUUGGCAUGAGGAAUGGG